UACGUAGGUGGCAAGCGUUAUCCGGAAUUACUGGGUGUAAAGGGUGUGUAGGCGGGUUUACAAGUCAGAUGUGAAAAUUAUGGGCUCAACUCAUAACCUGCAUUUGAAACUGUAGAUCUUGAGAGUCGGAGGGGUAGAUGGAAUUCCUGGUGUAGCGGUGAAAUGCGUAGAUAUCAGGAGGAACACCGGUGGCGAAGGCGAUCUACUGGACGACCACUGACGCUGAGACACGAAAGCGUGGGGAGCAAAC
rnacentral:rRNA from 1 species